rnacentral:lncRNA from 1 species
CUUGAUUCUUUCAACACCGUGUACCGUCACCGUGCAUGCAUAGCGGGACCCUGUGAUUCAGUCAGCGUAUUGGCAGUGGGCUCACUUGAUUGCAGAUCUGAGAUAUGUGUGCGUGCCGCAACAAGAGGUCAUUCGGAACGCGGCUGGUGGAGAAACACGCACAGCUUGUUGGAAUCCGCGCCCAUAGCCAAUAUUCGCUCUUUCCUAUCCGUGACAGAGGCUGCAAAAAUGACGAUCAAAAAAAGUAAAACCGUCGUUUUUGAAAGACGUGCAGGGGAUUUAACUGCGUUGUAUUGUAUGAAUGAUUGGAUGAUUGCAGUGGUGUUGGCUAUUAUUACCAUGAUGUCUGUAUGGGCCGCACUCAUCAUAUACAGAUACAUACAGACAGAGAGAGGUAAAAGAAGAAGGAAGGUUGAUGACGACACUAUUUUGGAAACUGAAAAGGACGACAAUGAGACGCGAAACGAAGAAGAACAAAUACUAUCCCGUGUCGAGUCAACAGAGGAGGGUGAAGAAGUCGUGCCAGAGACACUGGAGAGCUGGGAUGGAGAGGAAUGGAGGAGAGAGCCAAUGGAAUGGAUUCCAACAACCAAUGAGGAUGUAGAACCCAUUGAGGGGAUCCCAACCACCAAUAAGGAUGUAGAACCCAUUGAGGGGAUCUCAGCAACAACCAAUGAAGGUGUAGAACCCAUUGAGGGGAUCCCAACAAUAACCAAUGAGGAUGUAGAACCCAUUGAGGGGAUCUCAGCAACAACCAAUGAAGGUGUAGAACCCGUUGAGGGGAUCCCAACAAUAACCAAUGAGGAUGUAGAACCCAUUGAGGGGAUGCCAACCACCAAUGAAGGUGUAGAACCCAUUGAGGGGAUCCCAACCACCAAUGAAGGUGUAGAACCCAUUGAGGGGAUCCCAACAAUAACCAUUGAUGAUAUAGAACCCAUUACAAGGAUCCGAACAACAACCAAUGAAGAUUUAGAACCCAUUAAACAGAUCCGAGCACGGACCAAUGAGGAUCUACAACCCAUUAGACGCAUCCGAACACUAACCAAUGAGGAUCUAGAACCCAUUAGACGCAUCCGAACACUAACCAAUGAGGAUCUAGAACCAAUUAGAUGGAUCCGAACAGCAACCAAUGAGGAUCUAGAACCAAUUAGACGGAUCCGAACAGCAACCAAUGAGGAUCUACAACCCAUUAGACGGAUCCGAACAACAACCAAUGAGAGCGAUGGUCCUUACACGUGGGAGUCAUAUGCUGAGUGGCAGAUCGUUGAGGAGUUUCACCUCGGCUCUCAACCUCAACAGCACUGUGAAGGCAUAUGUCAGCACUAUGACGGCUUAUGUCAGGUCUGUGGAGGCUUGUGUCAUUGCAGUGAAUGCUUAUGUCAGUUCUACGAAGGCUUAUGUCAGGACGACGCCGAGUCCCAGACUGACUGUACCGUGGAUCAAGAGGAGCAGGCUUCUACCAGUCACUAUUCCCUCAGUGACAUAAACUAUCAAUCUGGACAUGAGAAGGAUACAGAUGUGUAUAACCAGGACGAGGAGGGUUUGAAGGAAGUUGAACUGAGUGAUGAUUGUCAAUGUGAGAGCACAGAGGAGGAGUCCGAGGUAAACCAUCCACAUGCCUUUGCCAUCAAGCCUCAGAGAGAUCUGGAAGAGCUCAAUGGAAAUCUCCCUGACAUGAUAUUGACUGACUCUGACCUUACAGAACCUGACCAUGUGUGUUAUACAGAGAUACAGGAAGUACAAUACCCAGAUGAUGACAUGACCAGCCAUGUUGCCGCUGAGAUGAUAUUGAGUGGCACUGACCCUACAGAACCCCUGCCUAAACAUCUGUGUGAUACGGAUAAAGAGGAAGUUGAAUGUCCAGAACAUUAUAUGAACAUCCACGUUAACAUCACGCCUCAAGAAAAGAGGCCUGACGUGAUAUUGACCAACACUGACCUUACGGAACCUCGGCCUGAACAUGUGUGUGAUACAGAGAUACAGGAAGUAGAAUACCCCGAUGAUGACAUGACCAGCCAUGUUGUCUUUUCCAACGAGCCUCAGGAAGAGAGGCCGGAGAUGACAUUGACUGACACUGAACAUGUGUCGGAUAAAGAGAGAGAGGAAGUAGAAUAUCCGGAUGAUGAUAGACACAGCCAUGUUGCUUUUGCCAAAGUCCAGGAAAGUGUAAAUCUCCCUGAGAUAGAACCGGAACAUGUGUAUGAGGUGGAGAGAGAGGAAGUGGGAGUAGAAUAUCCAGAUGAGGUAAUCACUGAAGGUCCAGAACAUCUCAGUGAAAACAUCCCAGAGAUUUUGAGUGACACUGACCUCCAAGAACCUGGCAAUUUAUGUGAAGAAGAAAUACAGGAAGUAGAAUGUACAAGUGAUUAUAUGGACAGCCAGGUUUCCUUUGUCAGCGACACUCAGGAAUCAGAACAUCCCAAUGAAUAUCUACCUGACAUGAUAUUGACUGACACCAAGACUAAAGAACUUGACCAUGUGUGUGAUACAGAGAUACAGG